rnacentral:rRNA from 1 species
AAAAAUGCCCCUAGGAUGUUCUCUUUUAGUUCAUAUUCCUACUGGGAAAAAACGGAAUUACCAUUAUCUCAGAUUUUCGAUCUUGGAUAUUUAUAAUACCUAUACAGCGAUACUGACGUGCAAAUCGAUCGUUGGAGCUGGGUAUAGUGGCGAAAGACCAAUCGAACCAGCUGGUUCCCACUGAAGUUUCCCUCAGGAUAGCUUGCACUCGGUUGAGACGAGUCUCAUCCGAUAGAGCGAAUUGAUUAUAUGCAUUUGGAGUCGAAACGACCUCAACAUCUAUUCUCAAACUCCAAAUAGAUUGGGAUCCCCUGGCUUUGUUAAAAGUUAAACCGUGGGAAUAGGAUCAGAGUGCCAAGUGGGCCAAUUUUGGUAAGCAGUACUGGGAGCUGUGGUGGGAAAAAACCAAACGCAGAGUUUAGGCGCCUAUGUAAAUCCAUUUUCAGGGCUAGUUGACUUUGAAGGGAAGAAUGGUUUUGGGAUUAGGGAGUGAUUUUAUCCUUAACUUAAUCCACAUUU